AGUGAGAUCUUAAUAAAAAAACGUGUAUUACUACAAAAUAUCAUGAUAAAAAAAGAUAUUAAACGGAAUAGAAUGUUUUUUUCAAAAAAUACCAUGUGCUUUUUAUAAAUACUAUGUAAUAAGAGAAAAUAACAAGAUAAAAAAAGCAUAUUAUGUUAUCGCAUGUAUUUCGGAAAAAUAACAUGUUACAAAGGACAUUUACGUAAUUACACGUGUUCUCUAAUAUGUUUCCGACAAAAUACUGUGACUCAAAGUUAAUUUGUAAUUCUUUUCAAAUCUAUAGUCAUUUAUUAUAAAUACUCUUGU
rnacentral:sRNA from 1 species